ensembl:misc_RNA Metazoa_SRP Metazoan signal recognition particle RNA
GCUGGGUGUGAUGGCUUGUGCCUGUAGUCAUGGUUACUAUGGAGGCUGAGGUGGGAGGAUUGCUUGAGCUAAGGAGUUUUGGACUGUAGGGCGCUGUGCUGGUUGGAUGCCUGUACUAAGAUUGGCAUCCAUGUGGUGACCUCCCAGGAGCGGGGAAAACCACCAGGUUGCCUAAGUAAGGGUGAACGAGCCCAGGUCAGACAUGGAACAGGUCAGAACCCCUGUGCUCAUCAGUAGUGGAAUCCUGCCUGUGAAUAGCCACUGCACUCCAGCCUGGACAACAUAGCAAGACCCUGUCUCUA